rnacentral:lncRNA from 1 species
UCCCGUUCCUGAUUGAUUUAUUUCCUUGUAACUUGCAGAGUUGCAGUUAUCAACUUUGUCAUUUCUUGUUUGCAGAUUUAUCAGUAGAAGUGAACUCUGCAGGUUAUUGUUUCUUGUGAGUAUCAGUAUGGCUACUUCAUCAGUAUGCAUAGCAGGAAAUAGUUUGACUACUCAUAGAAGGCAGAAAGUUUUCAGGAAGGAGAUUUAUGGCAGGAAAAUUUUAUUCUCCUCAAAUCUUCCAUCGUCUAGUAAAACAUCGAGAAU